rnacentral:rRNA from 1 species
CUCUUCGGUUAAUACCCGGAGACGAUGACAUUAGCUGCAGAAUAAGCACCGGCUAACUCUGUGCCAGCAGCCGCGGUAAUACAGAGGGUGCAAGCGUUAAUCGGAAUUACUGGGCGUAAAGCGAGCGUAGGUGGCUUGAUAAGUCAGAUGUGAAAUCCCCGGGCUUAACCUGGGAACUGCAUCUGAAACUGUUAGGCUAGAGUAGGUGAGAGGGAAGUAGAAUUUCAGGUGUAGCGGUGAAAUGCGUAGAGAUCUGAAGGAAUACCGAUGGCGAAGGCAGCCUUCUGGCAUCAUAUUGACACUGAGGCUCGAAAGCGUGGGUAGCAAACAGGAUUAGAUACCCUGGUAGUCCACGCCGUAAACGAUGUC